GAAUAUAUCGUUUUUUAAUCGCGCAUUUGACUGGCAGUCAAAAGGUCACGGGUUCGAAUCCCGUAUUCUCCA
rnacentral:tRNA from 1 species